GGAGAUGUUCGGUAUGUGAUAAACGCGGAUUGAACAUACGCAAAGUUACUUCUGCAUGAGUGAUGUACCGUUAGCCGUCGGAUACUCCUCGAUAAAUUUCACCAGUGAAAUGCCGCUAACAACUUCAACAAUUAUAUCAAGUAUAUGCCGUGCCUUAGAGUCCGAUGUGAUCUGCAUUGGUAAGUUUAUAAUUCAAUUAUAUUUUUCAUUUUAAUUCCUGCGUCGUACAUAAGUUUUUAUUUACGUAGUUUUUUUUGCGUUCCACCGCGUGUUACAAAGACACAAGACAGUCGCGUUUCAAUCCGCUACUCUCUUUUAGUAUCUCUUUUAGUUUUCGAUAUAUUCACAAUCGGAGAAAACUCUCAAAGAAAUGAAAAAAAUCGCUUUUUUGCACUUUUAUACACGAUUUUAGAACCUUUACACUCCGUAUUUUAAUUAUUUUCUUAUCUUAUCUCAUAGAGACUUUUCCAAACUUUCAUAAUCUUCGAUCGACUGGCCGCUAGCGCUUUUAGUUUAAAAGAUAUGUCCUAAAUUAUCAAAAAGCAGAUAUCGCACCCCCCUUGCCAUUUUUUCGCAAUGGGAAUCACUUCUACCGUUACUCCCUACGGUGCCCUGAACUCGAGUCACCUUAACCGCUAGCCUCGUACUGUGCCCUGAACACGAGUCACUGUUGCCGCUAGCCUCGUACGGUGCCCUGAACACAAGUCACUUUUACCGCCAGCCUCGUAAGGUGCCCUAAACACGAGUCACUGUUAGCGCUAGCCUCGUACGGUACUCUAUUUAUUGCAAGAAAAUUCCGUAACGCGAGGUUUAAUGAUAGUUGUGUGUAUACGCACUUGUACUCCUUGCGCUAGGAAUUGUAGUUUUUUUUAGCAUAACACGCGAACGCGGUCUUAAACUAAGUUCGGAAUAAUUUUCCCAGAUGCAUAAUUUAAUUCUUUAUUUCCCUGUAUCAAAAUUUAUUGCGAGAAAAUUCCGUAACGCGAGUUAUAUUGAAAGUUGUGUGUAUACGCGCUAGUACUCGUUGCGCUAAGAAUUAUAGUUUUUUUGAUAUAACACGCGAACGCGGUAUCACAAUAAGUUUGAAAUAAUUUUCCCAGAUGCAGAAUUCAAUUUUGUAUCUGCCUGUAUCGAAAUUUAUUGCGAGAAAAUUCCGUAACGCUAGUUAUAUUUAAAGUUGUGUGUGUGCGCCGCAGUACUCGUUGCGUUGGGAAUUGUAGUUUUUUGACAUAACACGCAAUCGCGGGGUCGCAAUAAGUUCGGAAUAAUAAUCCCAGAUGCAGAAUUAAAUUAUGUAUCUCCCUGUAUCGAAAUUUUCACUGACACAAAAGAAAACAUAUACAGGGUCGAAUGAAAACGAGCGGCGUUUGUAGUGUUCAGAGUUUUUUUGUUUGCACUUUAAAUUUUUCUUUUGUAACACCCUGUUUAUUUGUUUCCAUUUUCAAUCACCUAGUAAAUUGGCUAUUUACUAAUUUCAUUAUUCCGGUAGAACUUUAUGAAGUAGUACUUGCUGGCAUGCAGGUCGUAUUUCAGUCCUGUUUCAAUAUGGCGACAUGAAUUCUGUUGACUUGUAAAAUCUAAACUUGUAUUCUAUUGUUAAUAAAGAAAUGUUAAGAAA